rnacentral:rRNA from 1 species
CCUACGGGUGGCUGCAGUGGGGAAUAUUGGACAAUGGGCGAAAGCCUGAUCCAGCCAUGCCGCGUGUGUGAAGAAGGCCUUCGGGUUGUAAAGCACUUUCAGUGGGGAAGAAAGCCUUGGGGCUAAUACCCUCGAGGAAGGACAUCACCCACAGAAGAAGCACCGGCUAACUCCGUGCCAGCAGCCGCGGUAAUACGGAGGGUGCGAGCGUUAAUCGGAAUUACUGGGCGUAAAGCGCGCGUAGGCGGUCUGAUAAGCCGGUUGUGAAAGCCCCGGGCUCAACCUGGGAACGGCAUCCGGAACUGUCAGGCUAGAGUGCAGGAGAGGAAGGUAGAAUUCCCGGUGUAGCGGUGAAAUGCGUAGAGAUCGGGAGGAAUACCAGUGGCGAAGGCAGCCUUCUGGACUGACACUGACGCUGAGGUGCGAAAGCGUGGGUAGCAAACAGGAUUAGAUACCCGCGUAGUC